rnacentral:rRNA from 1 species
CCUACGGGAGGCAGCAGUGAGGAAUAUUGGUCAAUGGUCGGGAGACUGAACCAGCCAAGCCGCGUGAGGGAGGAAGGUACAGAGUAUCGUAAACCUCUUUUGUCAGGGAACAAAGGCGGGGACGUGUCCCCGGAUGAGUGUACCUGAAGAAAAAGCAUCGGCUAACUCCGUGCCAGCAGCCGCGGUAAUACGGAGGAUGCGAGCGUUAUCCGGAUUUAUGGGGUUAAAAGGGUGCGCAGGCGGUCUGUUAAGUCAGCGGUCAAAGCCCGGGGCUCAACCCCGGCCCGCCGUUGAAACUGGCAGUCUCGAGUUGGAGAGAAGUAUGCGGAAUGCGCGGUGUAGCGGUGAAAUGCAUAGAUAUCGCGCAGAACUCCGAUUGCGAAGGCAGCAUGCCGGCUCCACACUGACGCUGAGGCACGAAAGCGUGGGUAUCGAACAGGAUUAGAUACCCCUGUAGUC